GACGAACGCUGGCGGCAUGCCUAAUACAUGCAAGUCGAGCGAACGGAUGAAGUGCUUGCACUUCUGACGUUAGCGGCGAACGGGUGAGUAACACGUAAGGAAUCUACCUAUAAGCGGGGGAUAACAUUCGGAAACGGGUGCUAAUACCGCAUAAUAUCUUCUUCCGCAUGGAAGAAGAUUGAAAGACGGCUCUGCUGUCACUUAUAGAUGACCUUGCGGUGCAUUAGUUAGUUGGUGGGGUAACGGCCUACCAAGACGAUGAUGCAUAGCCGACCUGAGAGGGUGAUCGGCCACAUUGGGACUGAGACACGGCCCAAACUCCUACGGGAGGCAGCAGUAGGGAACCUUCCGCAAUGGGCGAAAGCCUGACGGAGCAACGCCGCGUGAGUGAAGAAGGCCUUCGGGUCGUAAAACUCUGUUAUAAGAGAAGAACAAAUUGUAGAGUAACUGCUACGGUCUUGACGGUAUCUUAUCAGAAAGCCACGGCUAACUACGUGCCAGCCGCCGCGGUAA
rnacentral:rRNA from 1 species